GAUGAAGAACGUAGCGAAUUGCGAUAAGUAAUGUGAAUUGCAGAUUUUCAGUGAAUCAUCGAAUCUUUGAACGCACAUUGCGCCCGCCAGUAUUCUGGCGGGCAUGCCUGUUCGAGCGUCAUUUCAACCAUCAAGCCCCAGGCUUGUGUUGGGGACCUGCGGCUGCCGCAGGCCCCGAAAAGCAGUGGCGGGCUCGCUGUCACACCGAGCGUAGUAAAUCACCUCGCUUAGGGCGUGCUGCGGGCGCCGGCCGUAAAAAGCCAACGUACCCCAAGGUUGACCUCGGAUCAGGUAGGAAUACCCGCUGAACUUAAGCAUAUCAAUAAGCGGAGGA
rnacentral:misc_RNA from 1 species